GGGAGCGUAGCUCAGAUGGUAGAGCACUCGCUUAUCCUGCGAGAUGUAUGGGGAUUGAUACCCCGCACCUCCA